rnacentral:pre_miRNA from 1 species
AGGAGGAACAACAACAGUAGCAGUGGCCAGCUCUGGAGCCCUGAAGUCAGCUCCCACAGUAACUACAGAGCUCUCUGUCUGCAGGGCCUGGAGGCUCCGGGGGCGG